GUUCCCCCAGUUGAAACAUCGAGUUCCAUAAACGGUGGAUAGCGACCGGAAGGCACCGCUAACGGUAGCCUAUCGGUUUCGUGGAAAGUCCCGGAGGAAAUAAUCUAUCGUCACCUCCGCUAUGAGGUUCGUGGCUAAUCGAAUGCCAACCGAAAGAAAACGUCGCCACGCUGCCGCCACCAUUAACUGUGAUUUGAAAGUAAGAAGCGUACAGGCAAAGCGGAAGCAAGUGUCCCGCUGUCGAUGAAUAUGUAGGUUGGCCCUCGACCUCGUGCCUCUAUAUGCGUGUCCUCCGCCGUGUAUACGCUACAUAGGCUUACACACGACCGUUCGACGAGCUUCUAUGCAUACACACAAGGGUGAUCUAUCGAUAACGAGGCUCUCGAUUAACCUUUUAUCUCGCUUGGUCAUCGCAAUUCCGAACGCGGGGUCCCCUUUCAUAUGAAAAACAGAAUUUAACGGGACGAUAUUCUUGAAUUUAAUUGCAGGUCAAAGAUGGUGUUCUUGCUACGUGUUCGAAUAAACAGAGGGGAAAAAGAAGAUACGAGAGGAAAGAGAGAAGAAAAAACAGGGGAAGAACGAUGGUUUAGGCCGGCUGUUUUGAAUUGUAUGAACAGUAUGUAAUAAAAGUGGUUGUACAGCGCGAGGAUUUUAAACGGGCAAACAUUUAAAUGCGGAUUUCAUCUUUGAAUAAUGCAUACGUCGGUAUGGUGGAUCGCGUCGAUAUUUUCCGAGGACGUUAGUUACAGACGAGAGCUACGUCGCACCGAUAAUUCUACAUGGAGAAUGAGCAAAAAUAUCCACGUUGAACAAUGCCAACAUCGUUCGUCUCGAUCUUUGGAGAUCGUGGUUCGUGAGUUUAUUUCUAGGUAAACGUGACCGGCAGAGAUGUUUCAAGGAUUCUGCGGAUUUUAUGGAUUAGGAAUAACUGAGAGUAGAGUUCAUCGAUGUUCGGAUAGAGUAGAAUUGAAGAAACUGUGACACGUGUCUCAUUAGCCGAAUCGAUCCAUCAAGAACCCACAGAUGGACCGCCGAACGAAAUCAUGCUCGGACACGCGUUAAAGAAAAUUUUAACGUAAUUUUAUGCGCGCAUUCCUUCGACGGAUUUACGCCCACGAAGAGGAAGAGCCGUGUCGCUCAUGAACGCGACUACGCCAGGCAAAAGCCGCACAGUUUAUUUUCGACGUGAAGAAGUUUAAAGUUAGACAAGCAAGAGUACGUGCCUCCUAGCGUACGCUGUUACUCCAAGCCAAGUACAAGAUCGCUGGCCAACGGAUCGCAGAAGUCCCUAAGAAGCGAAGAAAGAAAAGACUCGUUUCGAGGUAUCCAAUGAACGAGCAUCUAUCGAUAAAAGAUUAAUCACGAAGGCAUAGAACAACGAGCUAAUAAUAGUGACGAAUCCGAUGUCUCUUUCCUCUGGUGUUCACCAGUCGGCAUAACACGCGUGUCGUUACGUGUUUACGAUCACAAAGCAAAGUGCGAACCUAUCGCAACCUUCGACCCGCUGUUUCAGAUUUCUUGCUAGCUGCGUGCCGCAGGAGCCGUUCUCCGUGUUGCGUAAUAUCCUCCGUCUUCCUUUACUUUACCAUCGCACUAUACUCGAUAAUACUCGCAACUAUAAGUAUCAAUCCUUUGAAUAUUAC
rnacentral:lncRNA from 1 species